CCAGGAAACAUUAGGUUGAGCAAGAGCCUACCAUGUGGGAGGAGCAGGGGCCAGGCCAGUUUAGGCUGGGGAAGUGGACAAUCUAACAGAGUUCCUCAUGUGACAGAGGCUGGAGAGUGGAAGAGUGGAGGGUGCCAAGUUGAGAGAUGCAGAGGUCUCACAGCAUCCUGGCUCAAUCCAGCGUGAUCUGGAUGCCUGACAAAGGUUCCCAGAAGGAUUGAAAUUGGCCUGAAAGGUCAAGAUUACAAUCGACCUUCCAAACACCACCAGAGGGCAGCACCAUCUCAAAACCAGCCUUACCAAGCCCGGCCUCCUUACAGUCUUCUGGUUCUGGAUCUCCUAAAACUGCCAUAUCAGUUCUCAGGAAUCUUCGAAAACACACCUGCCUUUGCCUCCCAAGUGCUGGAAGGAUAGAAUAGGCAGGACCUGGCUCAGGAAGAAGGCACAGAGAAGGACACCAAGCCUGAGGACCUGAAUUCCAUCCCUAGGAACCCAUGUGCUAAAAAAGAAAAAAGAAAACUGAUUGUCAAAUUUUCUAUCCUCUGACCUCCAUGUGUGCAUAUGUCUGGAGGUCAGAAGUGGAUGUGAUGGUGUGAUCCCGAGAGAAUGUUCUGAACUCUGAGUCUGGGGUCAUGGCCGGCGUCAGGAUUCUUGUUGUUAUCCACGGUCUGGAGUCAACGCCCUGGAGGGAGCGUGUACACAUCCGAGUUGUGGUCACGGCUUGGGGUCGUCCUGGAGUCCUUAGAUGCUGCCUCGGACU